UGCAUUCACUACUGUAAGUCGCUCUGGAUAAGAGCGUCUGCUAAACGACAAAAA
rfam:Salmo salar isolate Sally breed double haploid chromosome ssa22, whole genome shotgun sequence.